GUCGAAAUAACUGGAAUGACUAAGCAGACGAUAUUUUCAAAUUUAGUCAAGGACAUCUAGAGGAGAAAAUAAUCAGUCGGAAACUGAUGGGAGAAAAAUCUAAAAUGACACUAAAUUGUUUGGCAAAUAUUAUACACAUAACAGUAUUUCGGUGUAACAUUUGACUCCAAUCGUUCAUGACCGUUCCGCUUGACGAAUACCUGAGGCUUCCUUAACGGGUUAUUUUCUGCAGGAUGUGUCACACGACAGGGCGUUAACUCUUGGCUAAUAAUAAAAAAAGGAAUCCAUCAUUAUAAAAAUUUCACGAGCAAAUUGAGAGUUUAAUCAUUGGCCGUGAGUUCUUGUCAGUGUGCAUUUACGUUAUUUUCUCUCGGGGGCAUCAUAACACUAGCACUUUUUUGUUCUGAGAAUUUCCUUGGGAUAAAAUGAAGCGGUUAAGCUUCACCACAUUGGUGCAUUUAAAAAGCAAGUGUUAUUGAUCCUUUGUAAGAAUGUCUCGAAGGUUUGUGCGGACACAUAAUGAGCCGAUAGUUAACGGGACUAGUGGGAAACAAUGCCUUAUUCUGAAAGUAAUUAUUAAAGUUCAGCUGAAUUUUCUCAUCGAAUGUCGAACAUUUGUUUCACACGGAAAGACGACCAAAAUUGUUGUCACCUGCCGUUGUUUCCGUUGAAAUAGUUUCCCUCGUUUGAAUGUGGCGCCAAUGGAGCCAAAGCCAUCUAGUGUCGAAUAUCAAAACUUAUGCAAGACCUCUAGCGGUCGUCUGAUCAACGUGGAUUGCAAAAUAAUUUAGAAGUUGUCGCUCGUUCAAUCUCGACGUUGCACAAAAACAAAACAAAAAAUCAAAUGAUGGAGUGUCUUCGUUACAAAAAAGAGUGACGAACCUGUAAUAAGACGCAAGCACUUCCCAAGGUCGUUUUGACAGAUGCUCAAAAAACCAAUAACAAA